rnacentral:snRNA from 1 species
GUCCUUUGGACGACAAUAGGAAAG